AACACCUGAUUCAGUCAACAGGUAAACCACACUUUCAACAGACAGUAUACAAAACAAGCUACACCUCCACAACAGACUGCAGGUGAAGCAGCAGGGGAGCCUGGGAAAAUCUCCAGGAUGGAGCUCCUGAUUAAACCGGCUGCUCUCCUCCUCGCACUUUGGUGCUGCUGCUGCAGUGCUCAGCGAGUUGACUACAUAUCUCCGCGAUUAGGCAGCAUCAAUGGAGCAACACGACUCACCAUUACCGGAAACGGUUUUGCCCAGGAGAAACAGUUCCAGCUGAAUCCAAAAGAUGACACAUUUGGCAACCGUGUGACC